rnacentral:rRNA from 1 species
ACGGCCAUACCACGCUGAAUAUACCGGUUCUCGUUAGAUCACCGAAGUCAAGCAUCAUUGGGCACGGUCAGUACUUGGAUGGGUGACCACCUGGGAACACCGCGUGCCGUU